rnacentral:rRNA from 1 species
CAGUAGCCGCGGUAAUACGUAGGUGGCAAGCGUUGUCCGGAAUUAUUGGGCGUAUAGGGCUCGCAGGCGGUUUCUUAAGUCUGAUGUGAAAGCCCCCGGCUCAACCGGGGAGAGUCAUUGGAAACUGGGAAACUUGAGUGCAGAAGAGGAGAGUGGAAUUCCACGUGUAGCGGUGAAAUGCGUAGAGAUGUGGAGGAACACCAGUGGCGAAGGCGACUCUCUGGUCUGUAACUGACGCUGAGGAGCGAAAGCGUGGGGAGCGAACAGGAUUAGAUACCCCCGUAGUCCCUGUCUCUUAUAA